rnacentral:miRNA from 2 species
GUUAAUAUUAGGUUGGUGCAAAAGUAAUUGUGGCUUCUGACAUUAAAAGUAUUGGCAAAAACCACAGUAACUUUUGCACCAACCUAAUA